AUUGAACGCUGGCGGCAUGCCUUACACAUGCAAGUCGAACGGCAGCGGACCUUCGGGUGCCGGCGAGUGGCGAACGGGUGAGUAAUAUAUCGGAACGUACCUUUCAGUGGGGGAUAACGUAGCGAAAGUUACGCUAAUACCGCAUAUUCUGUGAGCAGGAAAGCAGGGGAUCGCAAGACCUUGCGCUGAUUGAGCGGCCGAUAUCAGAUUAGCUAGUUGGUGAGGUAAAGGCUCACCAAGGCGACGAUCUGUAGCGGGUCUGAGAGGAUGAUCCGCCACACUGGAACUGAGACACGGUCCAGACUCCUACGGGAGGCAGCAGUGGGGAAUUUUGGACAAUGGGCGCAAGCCUGAUCCAGCCAUGCCGCGUGAGUGAAGAAGGCCUCGGGUUGUAAG
rnacentral:rRNA from 1 species